rnacentral:ncRNA from 1 species
AUCUUAUCGGUGGAGGGAAAUGACCCGAUGAAGCCUGGCGACUUGUGAAGGAACAUAAGGCGCUUAGUCCAGCAAAAUGAUUUUCAUUUUGGAAGAUGGGGU